rfam:Acidovorax sp. NA3, complete genome.
UCGCAUCCGCCAAUCGGUCCAGCCGUGUCGCGGAAGGUUUCUCAACCAGCUAAUGCUUCCCGAAGGGAAGCGGAGGUCAGCG